rnacentral:lncRNA from 1 species
ACAGUGUCUGUCAUCACCACUAAGAAAACAGCUGAAACUCCACAUGGGACAAGAACAGCGUUCAAUAGGGCCUUGACCCUCGUGCUCAAGAAUAGCACUCUCAAUCCUAGCUUGGUCCUGGCCAGCUUAGAGGUGGUCCUGGGCUGCAUAGGAAAGCAGGCUGAGCAAGACAUAGAGAGGAAGACAACAAGUACCACUCCAUGGCCUACUUCAGUUCCUGCUUUGAAUUACUGCCUUGACUUCUCAAGAUAAUGGACUACAAAUGGAUAUGGGAGGCUUGAGCAAAUACUAUGAAUCUCUCAAGGAGCUAUGGAUUACCUUAAAAGGCUAGACAACAGAGCCACGGCACAGGAAGUCUGCCCUGGAUGCUAUCCUGCUGGGAAUUGGCCCUCUGAAACAGAUCCAUCCACCCGAUGAGUCAUGACAUUAAAAAUGAUGAAGGAAAUGGACUGGUCCCCAGACAAACAGCUCGGGGCAAUACGAUUCCUGCAUCCAAAGGACUAUGGGUUACAGACACCUCUCUCUUCUGGGAUACAACGUGUAAAAGCCGGAUUGAGAUCUCUAUGCCUGUUCUUCAACUGCUGUGGCUACCACUAUUCCAAGAGACAGAAUAAGAAAGUUAAAGACAACAAGAAAUGGGUCUGUAAGGCCCGAAGUGAGUGGUGUGGCAAACGACUGGACUCACUCACAUGAAUAUAAGGCUAAUCCAUUCAGGAACAGACUAAGUCUCGUCCUGACCUACUUGUCGUUUUUCUGUAAAGACCACUCGAGGUUUUAUCAACUUGAUCAACAGUAAGAGAAAUGCCAAGAUUUCAGGCUGUGGACUGUGUUCCAGUGGCAAGCAGCAGAGAUCCAUGUUUAGCUUGUGUUUCCUUGUGAUUCAAGGGCCCAUGGCAUGUCUCUGGAUAAGCAGAUUGCCAUGGAUCGAGGUACUCGGCCCUGAGUGGAGAGAGUGAGGGAAUGAAGAACAGACAAACAGACAAACAGGCAGGCACAAGGAAAGCUGGGAUCAGGUAAUCUGAGCGUGGAAGGAAGGAGACGCACAGCCACGGGAGCUCAGCGUGUAUAUUAUCCAGAGGUGAAAAGGAGAGAGAAGCUUGUUAAAAGACAGGAUGCUGAAAGAGGAGAUGAAACAUUUCAACCUGAAGGGAAGUGCUUUAAGAUGCAGGAUGUAAAACAAUGAAAUGCUGGAAGAAGAGCUCAAACACUCCAUUCUUUAAAAAGGCUUCUUAAACUCAGGAAAUAAACAACUGAAUAACUUCAGAAAGUCCCUGAAACUGAUUAUUAACACGGUGGCAGAAGGAGAAGCUAUAAAUAAAACAAGCUUUAUCCAAAUUAGGAAGAGCUAACAAAGACAACUCAGAAAGUGAAAGUGAACCAAGAAGAUUGCGUUGCUCUCAAGAAACGAUGUUAAUUAAAACUUUAGAAAGCAUGAUAA